AGUGAACGCUGGCGGUAGGCCUAACACAUGCAAGUCGAACGGCAGCACAGUAAGAGCUUGCUCUUACGGGUGGCGAGUGGCGGACGGGUGAGGAAUACAUCGGAAUCUACUUUUUCGUGGGGGCUAACGUAGGGAAACUUACGCUAAUACCGCAUACGACCUACGGGUGAAAGCAGGGGAUCUUCGGACCUUGCGCGAUUGAAUGAGCCGAUGUCGGAUUAGCUAGUUGGCGGGGUAAAGGCCCACCAAGGCGACGAUCCGUAGCUGGUCUGAGAGGAUGAUCAGCCACACUGGAACUGAGACACGGUCCAGACUCCUACGGGAGGCAGCAGUGGGGAAUAUUGGACAAUGGGCGAAAGCCUGAUCCAGCCAUACCGCGUGGGUGAAGAAGGCCUUCGGGUUGUAAAGCCCUUUUGUUGGGAAAGAAAAGCAGCAGGUUAAUACCCCGCUGUUCUGACGGUACCCAAAGAAUAAGCACCGGCUAACUUCGUG
rnacentral:rRNA from 1 species